rnacentral:rRNA from 1 species
UACGUAGGGAGCAAGCGUUGUUCGGAUUUACUGGGCGUAAAGGGCGCGUAGGCGGCAAUUCAAGUCAGCUGUGAAAUCUCCGGGCUUAACUCGGAACGGUCAGCUGAUACUGCUUUGCUAGAGUGCGGAAGGGGCAAUCGGAAUUCUUGGUGUAGCGGUGAAAUGCGUAGAUAUCAAGAGGAACACCGGAGGUGAAGACGGGUUGCUGGGCUGACACUGACGCUGAGGCGCGAAAGCUAGGGUAGCAAACGGG